UUAAAUUGAAGAGUUUGAUCAUGGCUCAGAUUGAACGCUGGCGGCAGGCCUAACACAUGCAAGUCGAACGGUAACAGGAAUCAGCUUGCUGAUUCGCUGACGAGUGGCGGACGGGUGAGUAAUGUCUG
rnacentral:rRNA from 1 species